rnacentral:rRNA from 1 species
GAUGAGCAUGCGUCCCAUUAGCUAGUUGGUAAGGUAACGGCUUACCAAGGCUACGAUGGGUAGGGGUCCUGAGAGGGAGAUCCCCCACACUGGUACUGAGACACGGACCAGACUCCUACGGGAGGCAGCAGUGAGGAAUAUUGGUCAAUGGGCGCAAGCCUGAACCAGCCAUGCCGCGUGCAGGAUGAAGCAUCUAUGGUGUGUAAACUGCUUUUGUACGAGAAGAAACACUCCUACGUGUAGGAGCUUGACGGUAUCGUAAGAAUAAGGACCGGCUAACUCCGUGCCAGCAGCCGCGGUAAUACGGAGGGUCCAAGCGUUAUCCGGAAUCAUUGGGUUUAAAGGGUCCGUAGGCGGUUUAGUAAGUCAGUGGUGAAAGCCCAUCGCUCAACGGUGGAACGGCCAUUGAUACUGCUAAACUUGAAUUAUUAGGAAGUAACUAGAAUAUGUAGUGUAGCGGUGAAAUGCUUAGAGAUUACAUGGAAUACCAAUUGCGAAGGCAGGUUACUACUAAUUGAUUGACGCUGAUGGA